ACAAAGCGCCAGCUGAGGGGUCGCUGCGGGCCGAGCGCCGCUGAGCCUGCCCGCCACCCAGCUUCACCCGCCGGCCGCCGUGCCUCUGCUGAGUCCCCGCGCCCCAAGCGCGCCCGGGCAGGGAAGGCAGGGCCGGGCGGGCGCCGCCUGCGGAGAGGCCAGGGGCCGGCCUGCGUGGGACCGCGCGGCGGCGGCGGCAGCGACUCCGGCGACUCCGGGCCGGGCCGGACACAGCGCAGGGCCAUGGCCGAGGCGGCCCCGGCUCCGACUUCUGAAUGGGACUCUGAAUGCCUUACAUCCCUGCAGCCCCUUCCUCUUCCCACGCCGCCAGCAGCAAAUGAGGCGCACCUGCAGACUGCAGCCAUCUCCUUGUGGACCGUGGUGGCAGCCGUGCAGGCGAUAGAGAGGAAGGUGGAGGUCCACAGCCGGCGACUCCUACACCUAGAAGGACGGACGGGGACAGCAGAGAAGAAGCUAGCCAGCUGUGAAAAGACAGUGGCUGAUCUUGGGAACCAGCUGGAGGGCAAGUGGGCCGUGCUGGGGACCCUGCUGCAGGAGUACGGGCUGCUGCAGAGGCGACUGGAGAACUUGGAGAACCUGCUGAGGAACAGGAACUUCUGGAUCCUGCGGCUGCCCCCGGGCAUUAAAGGAGAUCUCCCAAAGGUGCCUGUGACAUUUGAUGAUAUCUCCAUCUACUUUUCCACUCCGGAGUGGGAAAAAUUAGAAGAAUGGCAAAAGGAACUUUACAAGAAUAUCAUGAAGGGCAACUACGAGUCUCUCAUCUCCAUGGAUUAUGCCAUGAAUCAACCUGAUGUCUUAUCUCAGAUUCAGCCGGAAGGAGAACAUAAUACAGAGGAGCAGGCAGGACCAGAGGAAAGUGAGAUUCCCACAGACCCCAGUGAAGAGCCUGGAAUUUCAACAUCAGAUAUUCUGUCUUGGAUCAAACAAGAGGAAGAGCCCCAGGUUGGGGCCCCACAGGAGACCAAGGAGAGCGACAUGCACAAGGGUGCCUAUGCUGAUGAAGAGCUUGUCAUCAAAGCCGAAAGCCUUGCCAGAGCCUCUUUGUGCCCAGAGGUUCCAGUCACCUUCUCUUCUCCACCACCUGUGGCAAAGGAUACUUUUUCAGAUGUGGCUUUCAAAAGCCAGCCGUCCGCAUCCAUGGCGCCUUUUGGACGUUCAGCCACUGACCUGGCCGAAGCCUCUGAGGGCCAAGUGACUUUUACUCAGUUGGGUAGCUACCCCCUGCCACCUCCAGCCGGGGAGCAGAUGUUCUCAUGCCACCACUGUGGCAAGAGCCUCAGCCAGGACAUGUUGCUGACCCACCAGUGUAGCCACACAGGUGAGCCCCCCUUAUCCUGUGCCCAGUGCCCGAAGCACUUUCCCCAGCAGGCCGACCUCAGCAGCAGCUCCCAGCCCCAUGCUAGCGAGACACCCCCCACCUGCCCACACUGCGCCAGAACUUUCACGCACCCGUCAAGACUCACCUACCACCUCCGGGUCCACAACAGCACCGAGCGCCCCUUCCCCUGCCCCGACUGCCCCAAGCGCUUCGCCGACCAGGCCCGACUCACCAGCCACCGGCGGGCUCACGCGAGCGAGAGGCCCUUCCGCUGCGCGCAGUGCGGCCGCAGCUUCAGCCUGAAAAUCAGCCUUCUGCUCCACCAGCGGGGGCACGCGCAGGAGCGGCCUUUCUCCUGCCCCCAGUGCGGCAUUGACUUCAAUGGCCACUCGGCCCUGAUUCGCCACCAGAUGAUCCACACGGGCGAGCGCCCGUACCCGUGCACUGACUGCAGUAAGAGCUUCAUGCGCAAGGAGCACCUGCUCAACCACCGGCGGCUGCACACGGGCGAGCGGCCGUUCAGCUGCGCUCACUGCGGCAAGAGCUUCAUCCGCAAGCACCACCUCAUGAAGCACCAGCGCAUCCACACGGGCGAGCGGCCCUACCCCUGCGCCUACUGCGGCCGAAGCUUCCGCUACAAGCAGACGCUCAAGGACCACCUGCGGUCGGGCCACAGUGGAGGCUGCGGGGGCGACGGUGACCCAUCCGGACAGCCGCCUGACCCCCCGGGGCCCCUCCUCCCUGGGCUCGAGACCUCUGGCCUAGCCGUUAACACCGAAGGGCUAGAGGCCAGUCAGUGGUAUGGGGAAGGGAGCGGAGGGGGGGUUUUGUAAACCUCGCUCCUUUCAUGGUUAUCUACAUUCUCUGGUUACCUAUGCCCGCGAGCCCCUCCACCCCCCUGCGGUAAUCGCUAUGUGGCCCGGCGAUGAAUUUGGGAUCUUAGACACUUGACUAGAGACAUUGCUGGAAUUUUGGAACUUCAUAACAUCACAAGAACACGACAUUUUGAAACCCAGAGAGACCUGGAAGGAAGCCCAGCAUCCCGAUCUUUACAAAAGUUUUACCUGAGCAGAAGUUAUAUAAGAAGGUUGCAGAGAGGACCAAUCAACCACUGAAGAAGGCAGAUCGAUACAGCCCAGUCAGAGAAGCCUCAAAAGCAGUGUGCUGCCACGCUCUCAAACAUUGCCAGGUACAUUUAAAAUAUUUGAUAAAAAUCUCAUUGAGCUGUGUGGCUUUGUGUUUAUCAGCAAAGCCAGUAUUUACUGUAAAAUCUUGAAACCAGUCCAAAAAAGUAAGCUACCCAAGAACAGAGGCCAUGUCUUGUUUUGUAUCCCUCAUGGGCCCGGUGCUGGAGGGACGUGGGUGCUCAGUGCAUGAUCGCACAGUGGGAAGACCACUGGAGUAGGGGCGAAGAGCUGGAUUCCGGUCCUAGCCGCGCACUGUCUACCUACUUGAUAUGGAGCAAGCCACUGAAUUUGUGUAGAUCUCAUUUUCCUAAUUCCGAUAGAACACGAUGGUAAUAUCAAAUCCCUUCCUGCUCUAAAAUUCUGGAAUUUAAGAAUUUAUGUCUGGGUCCUGUUUUCCUUGCCUGGUUUCUCCCCACAUUCUGCCCUAUUGAGAGAUUGCUUUGACACAGCAGAAUAAACACCUUGGAGAGGUAUGCAUUUUUAGAAUCUCAUCCUAACCAUAUUAUCGUUACUCCAAAGCCACACAAACUGACAGAGUUUUAGCAAAACUAUAAAAUGUUUUAAAUAUGCACUAUGCAUUUCAUUGCAUUUUUUUAAAGCAUAGGAAAAUAAAAAGACCUACCAAAAUAAUAAUGAUGGUUCUAGGGUACUGGGGUCAUUCAGUGGUUAUUUUUCCCUUGUGUUUAUAAUAUAAAAUAUUUUAUAUACAGCAUUUAUAAUACUUUAUAAGAAUAAGGAUUAUUGGAAUGGAAAAGUUCUUGGAAAGGACUCAGGAGGCCAGAGUUUUUUAAUCUUGCUUCAAUUUUCUCGUUCCUAGCAUGAGGAUAAUACCCACUUGACCAACUUUACAUAGGCAUUGGGACGCUCAAAUGAGGAGAGGUCUUCAGAAGUGCUUUGAAACGUAUCGCAGGCCUGUGAAAGUGUUGACAUAGUCAACGCAGAAUUGUUGACCGGUUCAACAAUUUCCUGGAUGUUGUUGGUGCUUCUCUUCAUUCAAGACUGGGCAGUGGUCCUUCCUUCGCUUCUAGUUUGCUUGCCUGGGCUGGGGAGAAGCUAGCCCUAGAUUACCAUUUGGGGAGGGAUAGGAAAACAGCAGUAUGUGUGAGCGGAGAUCGAAAACAAAGUGCUGCCGGAAGUGUCAGGUCGACCUAUUUAACGCGUUGUCUUCUACCAACAACUUAUUAUGCAAGAUAACCAGUUUUAUGUACCUGCGGAAUUAUAACAAGUUAAGAAGGCAGGCAUGUUACUGGAGAGAUUGGGUUAAGCAAGUAGAAAGUACAGAAAGCAGUGUGUGUGUGUGUAUAUAUAUACAUAUAUGUCAGUUCUUGGCUUUGAAUUAUAGUUUUAAAAAAAUUGUGUAAGAGAAACAAUAUCUACAAGCCAACCUCACUGAGUAAACAGCAAGAUAAAAACAAUGCACAAUUAUUAAAUCAAUCCUAUAUUUAACAGCCACUAAGUAAUUAUUCAGGAUGUUCAUUUCUGCAUGGCGAUCCCGUGAGGCUGGGACAAGCACAUGGGGAGGGUUCUUGGCUGAACAUUAGAAUCACUUGGGGAACUUAAAGAAAAGUAUUUAUGCCAGGGCCCACCCUGGCAUGAUCUAAUUUGCCUGGGGCGGAGCCUGGGCAUUUUGUUUUUUUUAAGUUCCCCCAUGUGAUUCUAAUGGGCCUGCAAGUUUAGAAGAUCAGAGAAUGAGAAAGUGAGUUAUUGGCCUGGAAGUGACCAGUUAGCCUGCUUUACUGGAGCAAGGGGCUGUGGACUGGAGAUUAAUAAAAGGCAGAUGAAUCCACAAUGGGACGUCAUAAUUUAGUAGGAAAUAAAGCUAUGAGAAUUGCUGUUGAAAAAGUUCUGACUGAUCUCCGUAGUUAAGUUAGGACCUCUAGAGGCUGUGGGAAAAGCAGCAUUCAGUUCAGCUGUGCCCACUGCAGGCACUGUCCAGAGACCUGGUCCAUGAAACACGGGCAGGAUCCUGGAUGCGCACAGACGGGAGCCGUACAGAUGCCUGUGCUGUACCCUGACUUCUAUUGUAGUGACGCUAGCAGUUUGCUGAAGAAUGAAGAGGGACCGUGGUGAUGUCAUUACCAGCUUGGAUUUAACAAUAACAUGGGGUUUCACACCCUAUUUGUUGCAUUUAGAAAAACCAGUAUUAUUCUGUAUGCGCUCUGGACUUCAUUUUGAAUGAAUUUUGGCCAUUUUUAGUAAUCAAAUCCACACUUAAAAAUCGAAGGGAUACCCAUUGAGAAGAUUUGAGGGAUCAUAGUGCAAUUGUUAAUUCCCAACACAAAACCUGUCUGCACAUACAGGGUUUCUAAGCCCCAGGUACCCAUUGCGGUAGAACUCUUGAGUAGCUAACUCGCUUAGUCACUCAAGCAAUUACAUGUUUGUUAAGAUUGAGCAAAGUACCACACAGUCAUUAAGAACUGAAGAAAAGCCAACUAACUUCACUUGUCUGCUGUGUCAAGACUUGUAAAAAAGGUGAUGAAAUGCCUAUUAAAGUAGGCUGAGAAUAAACUCAGGAGGGAAAAAGUAGUAUUUUCUCUAAACUCUCUGAAAAGCAGGAAUUUUCAGAAGUUAGUGGGAAAGAAGGAAAAUGUACGUGUGCGGGUGCGUAUGUACAUGCACAUGCACACUUAAGUUUGAAUAAAAAUGUUGGCAAAAAGUGGAUCUGAAAAGGCAAGCAUGUUGAAAACUCAUUAGCAAGAGCAAACUGACCUAAAAACUGUGUGAUA